GACAGAGGUCUCGAGCGUUAGGCGGAAUCACUGGGCUUAAAGCGUGUGUAGGCGGACUUCUAAGUGCCUUGUGAAAUCCCACGGCUCAACCGUGGAACUGCUGGGCAUACUGGGUUGUCUUGGGCCAUCUAGGGGCUACUGGAACAAACGGUGGAGCGGUGAAAUGCGUAGAUAUCGUUUGGAACGCCAAUGGUGAAAACAAGUAGCUGG
rnacentral:rRNA from 1 species